rnacentral:tRNA from 1 species
GGAGGGGUACCGUAAUCGGCAACGGAACGGUCUUGAAAACCGUCGCCCGCAAGGGCUUGCGGGUUCGAGUCCCGCCCCCUCCGCCA